CUUCUUCUUGUUCUUCUUCUUCUUCCUCUUCUAAGCCCUAAAACGAUAAAGAUCCGUAAGGGUAAAGAUUGGAUAAGUAUUUAUAUAUCAUCGUUUCGUUUCAUUGAUUGAAUGAUAGAUCGAUCGCUCUGUCUUCUUCUUAAUUCUAAAUCAGUAUCGGUUUCACCAGAGACUACGACGGAAUUAAAAAGUGAAGAGAGGAAUCAAGCGAGGGGUAUGCGUAAUAGGUCUCUGUAAAUUUUGCCGAUGAUGAUCCAUCCAAGUAGAACCCGAUCGAGGCGAUGAUGAUGAUGAUCCGUAAGGUCUAUAUUUCAGUAUUGAUUUUCACCGGAUACUGAAUCUUGCCACGGAGAAGCUUUCACCACUACGACGGAACUCAAAAGUGAAGUGAGGAAUCAAGCGAGCCAUGUAUAUGUCUCGUCGUGAUGCUGAAGUUGAUUACAUCGUUCGUUUUGAGGAAACCAGAACCGUGCUUAAGUAACUUGACAAAGACAGGUAAGAUAAUGAUCAGUGAGUUCCCCUUGGAUCCAAAGAUCCUGUAUUCAACUUCUCAAAUGAGAUUCUCUCGGGUUUCAGCCAUGCUCUCAGCCUGUAAAGGAUCAAAAAGCAGCAGAUGAAGAAGCUAAAGCUAGAUUUGGACACAUUGAUGGAGAUCAUCUAACAUUGUUGUUGAAGCGUCUACCAUGCUUUUAAGCAAAAACAAUCCCAAUUGGUGCCUCUGAAAAAUAUGCAGACAAUGUUAGACAGCAGCUAGUCCGGAUAGAUAAUGUCAUGGUUCAGCAACCCCAAGAUGUGCAGCACUCAUUUUAAUACUAUUCUCAACCAUGCAUGCCGCUUAUUCAUCCAAGUGGCUCGCUUAGAACGCACUGGCCAUUUACUUGACAGCCAAAGACAACCAAAUGUUGCUUGGAUCACAGAUGAAGAUAGAGCGAUAAAAUCUGCAGACAAUGUUAGACAGCAGCUACUCUGGAGAGAUAAUGUCACUUAGAACGCACUUGACAGGCUGACAGCCAAAGACAAGUUAUUAUCACCUAGUAGAUGUUGCUCCUCAUGAAACGUGUCCUCGAGAAGCUGGAAGGAGGAAGAGAGCAAUAACUGGAAAAGAAGAAAAUUCAUUAUCCUCAUAUGUCAACGUUUAAUUCUACUUGGACAAGAGAAUCCAUAAGAGGAGGAUUAUAUAGUGAAUCAAGGUAUCAAGCAGGUAGCUCAGGAUGCUCAAGACAUUAGAGCUUUGCAGGUAUA